GAAAAGGCUCUUUUAAGAGCCGCCUACAUUCUUUCUAAAAGAGCAG
rfam:Scleropages formosus scaffold15903, whole genome shotgun sequence.